UGGGGAAUAUUGCACAAUGGGCGCAAGCCUGAUGCAGCCAUGCCGCGUGUGUGAAGAAGGCCUUCGGGUUGUAAAGCACUUUCAGUCGUGAGGAAGGGGUGUACGUUAAUAGCGUGCAUCUUUGACGUUAGCGACAGAAGAAGCACCGGCUAACUCCGUGCCAGCAGCCGCGGUAAUACGGAGGGUGCGAGCGUUAAUCGGAAUUACUGGGCGUAAAGCGCAUGCAGGUGGUGAGUUAAGUCAGAUGUGAAAGCCCGGGGCUCAACCUCGGAACUGCAUUUGAAACUGGCUCACUAGAGUACUGUAGAGGGGGGUAGAAUUUCAGGUGUAGCGGUGAAAUGCGUAGAGAUCUGAAGGAAUACCGGUGGCGAAGGCGGCCCCCUGGACAGAUACUGACACUCAGAUGCGAAAGCGUGGGGAGCAAACAGGAUUAGAUACCCGUGUAGUCC
rnacentral:rRNA from 1 species